AAAGAAAAACAAAAGUCAGAUAUAUAGACAGAUUGAUAUAUACAAUGAAUGACAGAUUGAUAGAUCGAAAGAUAGAUGAAAACAUGUAGCUACAAAGACAGCUAGAUAUAUAGAUAAAAAGAAAGAAUGAUUUUUUUUGGUGGUCAUUAUCGUACUUGUCAUUGUACCAUUCUUGUUCGGUAUUUGUUGAUAUCACACAUAGUUCACACACAUACACACACACCUUAAAAAGAUCUUCAAGAUAUAUUGCGCUUAAAACUAGAAAAAAGAAAACGGAAAUAGUAAAACAUUUAAUAAAAAGUGUCAACAAUUUAAACAUUUAAAACG
rnacentral:lncRNA from 1 species